AUAAAAUAAAAUAAAAUAAAACCGACCAAACUCAAAGUCUGAUCAUCUCUGUAUGCGUUGGAUAAGGCCAGAAGGGAUGGCCCGAGGAUGCUCGCCGCUUGCGUCAAGUUUGGGGAUGCUUCGUGUGCCUGAAAGCUUGGGGUGACUCGGGGACCUGACCCACAGCCACCCCGGGGCUUCUACGGGGAAGGUUUGAGCGUGACGAGGGCCGGACACGGCCGUGUGUGCGCUCUGCCUUCAAGGAGACGUCAGCCUGUGAGCGGACGCACGGUGCUGGUGGCGUUUUGGAGGGCCAGCACCCAUUUCUCGGCAGAAAUCGCGGCGCUGGUUGGCUGGCCCGCUCCCUUUUUCCCAGGCUGUGUGAGAGCAUCGCGAGCCCUGAGGUACUUGGCUACGGGAGGUUUUCUGCUCUGGAAUUGGCAGCUGCUCACUCCGGAAGAGAAUCAGCAUAUUUGGCUACUGACUGCAAAGGAAAAGGGAAAAACCAUUAUUAUUUCUUUUUCAUUUUGCUUUUUAAGCUAUCCGGUGGGAGACAUUGUCUGCGUUUGGGUGACCCUCAUUACUAAGGCAUUGCUAAGGCUUCCCUCCUCUGCCCUUCGCCUAAAAGCAGAAAAGGAAAAAAAAUAUAUAUUCAGUUCUCCAAAACGCAUAUAUUCGCCUUGGCCGGAUUUGGAGCCGGCCGGUGCCAAGCAUCCAGCAUCAGGCCUUACACAGCAGUAGAUUCAACGUCACGGCUCCAUGAGUCAGGGUUUUCUGUCUGAAAAGCCUCCACGUCAAGAAACCCGGGACAAAAAUUCCCUCUAGCCCAGCAACAGAGCCUGCUGUGUAGGAAGCUCUGUUAGGAAAGAGAGCUCGAUGCGCGAGUCAGAUAUUUCAGCCUGGGCACCCUUCCACGGCGCACAAAGGACGCACUCAGCCAGGCUCAAUGGGGCCGCUCAUGACUCAAGUGCUGCGAUCAUCGCCACGGGAGUGCCGGGUCACACCGCUCUUUUGGACCUGCAAAGCCCCCGUGGCCUCGUACAGGAUGCCGAGGAGCUGGGCACGGGCAGAUAUUUUCCAUCUCUGCACUGAGGAGGCUUCGCACCUUCCGCUGGAGCAUCUGGCGUUGGUUACUGCCCGAGGCAGAGCCUGGCUGCGGGGGCUCUGGGUCUGAUCUGGCAAUUCCUGCGGUCCUUUGAUCGUAAAAAAAAAAAUAAUAAAGGGUUAGCCACCACUUGCUGGUGCAACAGGGA